rnacentral:RNase_P_RNA from 2 species
AGAGAGGGUUGGACGGUCGCCGGCCACGGCAACGUGGCGGGAGGAAAGUCCGGGCUCCGCAGGGCAGGGUGCUGGCUAACGGCCAGGGGGGGUGACCCCACGGACCAGUGCCACAGAAAGCAGACCGCCGUUCGCAAGGACGGUAAGGGUGAAACGGUGAGGUAAGAGCUCACCAGCGGCGCGGGUGACCGCGCCGGCUCGGCAAACCCCACCCGGAGCAAGACCGAAUAGGAGAGCGCAGGGUGGCCCGCCCGUUGCUCUCGGGUUAGGUCGCUGGAGGCGCCGGGCAACCGGCGUCCUAGAGAAAUGACCGUCGCCCCGCAAGGGGGACAGAACCCGGCUUACAG